rnacentral:rRNA from 1 species
UAAUACAGAGGGCCCGAGCGUUAAUCGGAAUCACUGGGCUUAAAGAGUGCGUAGGCGGACGUGUAGGUACCUUGUGAAAUCCCUCGGCUCAACCGGGGAAUUGCUUGGUAAACCAUACGUCUUGAGGCAGGUAGGGGUGGUCGGAACGCUAGGUGGAGCGGUGGAAUGCGUAGAUAUCUAGCGGAACGCCAAUGGAGAAGUCAGGCCACUGGGCCUGUCCUGACGCUGAGGCACGAAAGCGUGGGUAGCGAACGGGAUUAGAUACCCCGGUAGUCCACGCCGUAAACGAUGCGAACUAGAUCGAGGAGGUUUGACGCCCUCUUGGUCGAAGCAAAAGUGUUAAGUUCGCCGCCUGGGGAGUACGGUCGCAAGGCUA